UCGAGCGAAUGGAUUAAGAGCUUGCUCUUAUGAAGUUAGCGGCGGACGGGUGAGUAACACGUGGGUAACCUGCCCAUAAGACUGGGAUAACUCCGGGAAACCGGGGCUAAUACCGGAUAACAUUUUGAACCGCAUGGUUCGAAAUUGAAAGGCGGCUUCGGCUGUCACUUAUGGAUGGACCCGCGUCGCAUUAGCUAGUUGGUGAGGUAACGGCUCACCAAGGCAACGAUGCGUAGCCGACCUGAGAGGGUGAUCGGCCACACUGGGACUGAGACACGGCCCAGACUCCUACGGGAGGCAGCAGUAGGGAAUCUUCCGCAAUGGACGAAAGUCUGACGGAGCAACGCCGCGUGAGUGAUGAAGGCUUUCGGGUCGUAAAACUCUGUUGUUAGGGAAGAACAAGUGCUAGUUGAAUAAGCUGGCACCUUGACGGUACCUAACCAGAAAGCCACGGCUAACUACGUGCCAGCAGCCGCGGUAAUACGUAGGUGGCAAGCGUUAUCCGGAAUUAUUGGGCGUAAAGCGCGCGCAGGUGGUUUCUUAAGUCUGAUGUGAAAGCCCACGGCUCAACCGUGGAGGGUCAUUGGAAACUGGGAGACUUGAGUGCAGAAGAGGAAAGUGGAAUUCCAUGUGUAGCGGUGAAAUGCGUAGAGAUAUGGAGGAACACCAGUGGCGAAGGCGACUUUCUGGUCUGUAACUGACACUGAGGCGCGAAAGCGUGG
rnacentral:rRNA from 1 species